rnacentral:rRNA from 1 species
CCUACGGGAGGCAGCAGUGAGGAAUAUUGGUCAAUGGGCGCGAUCCUGAACCAGCCAAGUAGCGUGAAGGAUGACUGCCCUAUGGGUUGUAAACUUCUUUUAUCUGGGAAUAAAGUGCAGUAUGUAUACUGCUUUGCAUGUACCCUAUGAAUAAGGAUCGGCUAACUCCGUGCCAGCAGCCGCGGUAAUACGGAGGAUCCGAGCGUUAUCCGGAUUUAUUGGGUUUAAAGGGUGCGUAGGCGGGUAGGUAAGUCAGUUGUGAAAGUUUGGGGCUCAACCCUAAUAGUGCAGUUGAUACUGGCAGCCUUGAGUACGGUAGAGGUAGGCGGAAUGCGUGGUGUAGCGGUGAAAUGCUUAGAUAUCGCGAAGAACUCCGAUUGCGAAGGCAGCGUGCUGGAGUGUAACUGACGCUGAUGCUCGAAAGUGUGGGUAUCAAACAGGAUUAGAUACCCUGGUAGUC